GGCCGGUUAGCUCAGUAGUUUGAGCGCGGUGCCGACAACAAUGACCGACACCAAGGUCGCGGGUUCGAUUCCCGCUCGGUCC
rnacentral:tRNA from 1 species